UAGAAAUGUACUGCUAUUGAAUUGUUGUCUUCCUGUACUCAAAUUCAACGACAACUUUUUCUUAUGCAGUGACUGUACCAUGCCAAUUCCAGUCCAGCAGAUAUUAAAGAUACUGCUAUCGUCAGAAUAAAAAUGUUUAGUCAUUGCUUCCAUGAAAGAAUAACCUCAUUGUCCAUUAUCGUCCGUUUUAUCCAUCCUCAGUUGUUCAUUUGCAUUCUCUUCUUCAUGUUUAAUGAUAUAUUUAUACUCCUGCGUAUGUAUUCUAGGAUAAUCCAUCUACAUGUAUAUGUAUAGAGUUGUUUCAAUUUCACCACUAUUCUAUAAUGUCUUUACUAUUGAAUGAACGAUUACCUCAUAUUUCAAGCUUCUGAUAAACGUCAAUAAUCUUGAGUAAGGAAUUAAGUCCGAUUUCCUCCAUUUCCUUUACAGAUAUAAUAAUUACAAACUUAUCAAUGCAGUCAUACGUUUAAAACCAGUUCAUUCUGUUCUAUAUCAAGAAUAGUAUUCGAUGCAUUAAGGUGGUACAUAACACUACUGGGAGAUAACUCUGUAAAAAUCAGCUGAACGUUUUAAUCACGUUCUAUUGUUAAGGAAAUAUUAAGCUUCACAAUGAUCAAAAUUAGUGUUUGCCAAACUGCUAUAUAUCCAAUGAAAUUUUUUUCCGAUAAAGUGUGUGGUUCAAGUUUUUUGAAAUUUUUAUAUUUUUGUCAAAGGGUCAAAGUAAAUAUUUUGUCAAAAUUUUAUGAAAAUUAAACGAGCCAAAUUAAUUUUAGUCAAGAUGUUUGGUACCUUCUUAAACCCUCCAUUUUAGUAAAAUUCUCCAAUUUUGUUCUUCAAACAAUAAUAACUCUAUAACCCCUAUAUACUUGGGAAGUAUAUUUUUUAUUUAUGAUUUUGUUUAAUUAUUCUGUAAUUUGAAAUAUCACAUAGUCCUAGUAGUUGUUAAAGGCACACUUGUAAUCAGUAUUAAAUGAAAUUAAAUAUGAUGCUCAAUUUCACUUCUGAUGUUUUAAACUACAGUUUAAGAAGUUAUCUUACAGUUGUGUAAAAGGGAUUAUAUAAACACGCAUAGAAAAGUCAAAGUCUCUGUUCAGCAAUAAAAAUCACAGCCAUUAUAAAACUCUUUGGAAUCAAACACUGACAAUUUCAAUACAAUUUUUACAAGUUUCUGACAUAACACCAUUUAGACAUUUUAGUAGAAAGAAGUCUCAAUGCAUAUUUUAUUGAGGAAACCCCAAAACACAUUAUUUUUUCACCUAUUGAAAGGUGUUUCGUUACCAUGCAUGAAUAUAACUUUGAUUUACUGGUUCCAAAACUUUUUCUGGUAAACAAAUAAUCAGAUAUCGUUGAAAAAUGAAAAGAACAUUAUGUGUAGUAAAAAUUCCAUUUUACUGGUGUCAUAAGUUUUUCUUUUACUGAUUUUGAAUGCAGAUGUCUUUGAUAAACUCGGAAAGAGUUUGUGCAAUGUGUACAAACAGAAACAUAAAUAAUUUAUAUGUCUCUAGUACACAUCAGUCCAUUAAGUUGAACAUGUGGCCAUUAAGUUUGUUUAGGGUGUUAUAUCUGUGUAUAAUUGAAAGUGAUAAAGGGUCAGGUGUAAAUGAUAAAAUGGUUAGUUGAUAUGUUAAUACUAUUCAUCGGUUUUAGUUUGUACCAAUUUUCAUAGAUCAAGGUAAAUUUGUAUUUUCGUGGAGAUUGAUUUCGUGGUUUUGCCAAAGUUUGCAUAAAGCCUAUAAACAAUUUUGAAAUUCGUCGAAUAUUCGAAUUUGUGUUUCAUCUGUACACACAAAAUCCGAGAAAAUUGGUAUUUAACGAAAAUCAAUGAAUCCACAGUAACAUAAGAGAAGAAAACUUAUUGAAUGAUUUGUUGAAAGGGCACGUGCAAUGUUGAAUUUAAUAUAUAAAUGAAAUGUGUAGUUGCAAUUUCCUUACAGUAUCAUGAGUAUAUCAAUAUGAUAUAAUCUUGGAGCAGCAAUCAUAAUUUAUGUUAGAUAUGAGUUAUGUUUGUAAAAUAAAUGACUUUAUACAUAUUUAUUUUGUGCAUAUGUCAGUAUGUGUUUGUGGAGCAUAUUACUUAAUGGUGGAUACAAACAAAUGCAGUGACUUUACCCUUUUUAAUUAUGAUAAGCUGCUGGUUAGAAGUACAAUUUACUGUUGUUUAUAAGUAACUUAUUUUGCAUCACUAAAAGUUAUCGUCUUUUGUUAAACAUGCAAAUUUAACCCGGAAAUAAAGCCUUAAGUAUCAAUA